rnacentral:rRNA from 1 species
UACGGGGGGGGCAAGCGUUGUUCGGAAUUACUGGGCGUAAAGGGCUCGUAGGCGGCCAACUAAGUCAGACGUGAAAUCCCCAGGCUCAACCUGGGAACUGCGUCUGAUACUGGAUGGCUUGAAUCCGGGAGAGGGAUGCAGAAUUCCACGUGUAGCAGUGAAAUGCGUAGAGAUGUGGAGGAACACCGAUGGCGAAGGCAGCUCUCUGGGACGGUACUGACGCUGAGACGCGAAAGCGUGGGGAGCGAACAGG